CAGGAAGAUCGUGUAGCGGUGUGCUACACACAGCGCUAGAAUAACGACACGCAGUCGUAAGGAGUAAGGAAGUAAUUGCGACCAUUGGUUCAUCGGUUUUAUUGGAUCCUGAACACCAAGGUGAUCUCAGCAGGAGUGAAAUUUUAUGGACCUUCACUGGCAGCAACAAAAGCCCUGUUACUAUUUUGGAUCACGUUCCAGAUAACCCUGUGGAGGAAACAAAUGAACAAUUCAGCUCCCGUUUACAGUUUAACGCUUCUACUGGCUGUCUGCUGGUAGACAGGAUAAAACCUGAGGAUCAAGGUGUUUAUAAUUUUGAUGUAGAUGAGAGAAGAACAACUACAAUUGAAUUGCUACUUUUUUAUGAGCUGUCGAAAACUUUGAUAAGGAGCUAUAGUACCCCUGGAUACACCAUCCAACUCACCUGUGAGGUUGAUGGAAAUCCUCAGAAAUAUGAAUGGCUGAGAAAUGGAGAAAUGGAGGGGAAAUCUCC